UUAAAUUGAAGAGUUUGAUCAUGGCUCAGAUUGAACGCUGGCGGCAGGCCUAACACAUGCAAGUCGAACGGUAACAGGAAGCAGCUUGCUGCUUUGCUGACGAGUGGCGGACGGGUGAGUAAUGUCUGGGAAACUGCCUGAUGGAGGGGGAUAACUACUGGAAACGGUAGCUAAUACCGCAUAACGUCGC
rnacentral:rRNA from 1 species